AUGACUCCCAUGUGGCUCUUCCUCUUUCUGCUGUCAGCUCCCAGAUGUGUCCUAUCCAAGGUGCAGCUGCAGGAGUCGGGCCCAGGACUGGUGAAGCCCUCGCCAACCCUCUCCCUCACCUGCACUGUGUCUGGGGGCUCAGUCACUAGCAGUUACUGGUGGAGCUGGAUCCGUCAUCCCCCAGGGAAGAGGCUGGAGUGGAUGGGGCGCAUAUGGCAUGAUGGAGACACUAACUACAGCCCCUCCCUCAAGAGCCGAACCUCCAUCUCCAUAGACACGUCCAAGAACCAGUUCUCCCUGCAGCUGAGCUCCGUGACCACCGAGGACACGGCCGUGUAUUACUGUGCAAGACACACACAGAGACACAAAUCUGCAGGAAACCUGUGGAAAGGGAGAUAA